AUCUGUGAUGAAUGAAAAUUUUCUUCACUUUGACCUGAAUUUUAUGUGGAGAACUUUAUAUCUGAGA